rnacentral:rRNA from 1 species
AUGAAGGCCCUAGGGUCGUAAAGCUCUUUCGCCAGGGAUGAUAAUGACAGUACCUGGUAAAGAAACCCCGGCUAACUCCGUGCCAGCAGCCGCGGUAAUACGGAGGGGGUUAGCGUUGUUCGGAAUUACUGGGCGUAAAGCGCGCGUAGGCGGACUGGAAAGUUGGGGGUGAAAUCCCAGGGCUCAACCCUGGAACUGCCUCCAAAACUAUCAGUCUAGAGUUCGAGAGAGGUGAGUGGAAUUCCGAGUGUAGAGGUGAAAUUCGUAGAUAUUCGGAGGAACACCAGUGGCGAAGGCGGCUCACUGGCUCGAUACUGACGCUGAGGUGCGAAAGUGUGGGGAGCAAACAGGAUUAGAUACCCUGGUAGUCCACACCGUAAACGAUGAAUGCCAGUCGUCGGGUAGCAUGCUAUUCGGUGACACACCUAACGGAUUAAGCAUUCCGCCUGGGGAGUACGGUCGCAAGAUUAAAACUCAAU